GACGAACGCUGGCGGCGUGCUUAACACAUGCAAGUCGAACGGAAAGGCCCUGCUUGCAGGGUACUCGAGUGGCGAACGGGUGAGUAACACGUGGGUGAUCUGCCCUGCACUUCGGGAUAAGCUUGGGAAACUGGGUCUAAUACCGGAUAGGAGCCAUCUUUAGUGUGGUGGUUGGACAGUUUUUUCGGUGUAGGAUGAGCUCGCGGCCUAUCAGCUUGUUGGUGGGGUAAUGGCCUACCAAGGCGGCGACGGGUAGCCGGCCUGAGAGGGUGUACGGCCACAUUGGGACUGAGAUACGGCCCAGACUCCUACGGGAGGAAGCAGUGGGGAAGAUUGAACAAUGGGCGCAAGCCUGAUGCAGCGACGCCGCGUGGGGGAUGAAGGCCUUCGGGUUGUAAACGCCUUUCGCGAGGGACGAAGCUUUUUGUGACGGUACCUAGAGAAGAAGCACCGGCUAACUACGUG
rnacentral:rRNA from 1 species